AGGGUUCGAUCAUGGCUCAGGAUGAACGCUGGCGGCGUGCCUAACACAUGCAAGUCGAGCGAGAAGUUUGAAAAUGAAGCUUCGGUAGAUUUUUCAAAUGGAAAGCGGCGGACGGGUGAGUAACGCGUAGGCAACCUGCCCUUUGCAGAGGGAUAGCCUCGGGAAACCGGGAUUAAAACCUCAUAAAACUUUAGUAAGACAUCUUGCAAAAGUCAAAGAUUUAUCGGCAAAGGAUGGGCCUGCGUCUGAUUAGUUAGUUGGUGGGGUAACGGCCUACCAAGGCGACGAUCAGUAGCCGACCUGAGAGGGUGAUCGGCCACAUUGGAACUGAGACACGGUCCAA
rnacentral:rRNA from 1 species